AUUGAACGCUGGCGGCAUGCCUUACACAUGCAAGUCGAACGGCAGCACGGGGGCAACCCUGGUGGCGAGUGGCGAACGGGUGAGUAAUGCAUCGGAACGUGCCCAGUAGUGGGGGAUAACCAGUCGAAAGACUGGCUAAUACCGCAUACGAUCCAAGGGUGAAAGCGGGGGACCGUAAGGCCUCGCGCUAUUGGAGCGGCCGAUGUCUGAUGAGCGAGUUGGCGGGGUAAGAGCCCACCAAGGCGACGAUCAGUAGCUGGUCUGAGAGGACGACCAGCCACACUGGGACUGAGACACGGCCCAGACUCCUACGGGAGGCAGCAGUGGGGAAUUUUGGACAAUGGGCGCAAGCCUGAUCCAGCCAUGCCGCGUGCGGGAAGAAGGCCUUCGGGUUGUAAACCGCUUUUGGCAGGAACGAAACGGCGCAGGCCAAUACCUUGCGCUAAUGACGGUACCUGCAGAAUAAGCACCGGCUAACUACGUGCCAGCAGCCGCGGUAACAC
rnacentral:rRNA from 1 species